ACUAAAUAGAUACCCGGGUAGUCCACGCCCUAAACGAUGUCUACUAGUUGUUGGUGGAGUAAAAUCCAUGAGUAAACGCAGCUAAACGCGUGAAGUAGACCGCCUGGGGAGUACGGUCGCAAGAUUAAAACUCAAAGGAAUUGACGGGGGCCCGCACAAGCGGUGGAUUAUGUGGAUUAAUUCGAUGCAACGCGAAAAACCUUACCUGGCCUUGACAUGCCACUAACGAAGCAGAGAUGCAUUAGGUGCCCGUAAGGGAAAGUGGACACAGGUGCUGCAUGGCUGUCGUCAGCUCGUGUCGUUGAGAUGUUGGGUUAAGUCCCGCAACGAGCGCAACCCUUGCCAUUAAUUGCCAUCAUUUAGUUGGGCACUUUAAUGGGACUGCCGGUGACAAACCGGAGGAAGGUGGGGAUGACGUCAAGUCCUCAUGGCCCUUAUGGCCAGGGCUUCACACGUAAUACAAUGGUCGGUACAGAGAGUUGCCAACCCGCGAGGGGAGCUAAUCUCAGAAAGCCGAUCGUAGUCCGGAUUGUUCU
rnacentral:rRNA from 1 species